rnacentral:lncRNA from 1 species
UUAAAAUACAAUACCAUACCAUCAAUCCAAACAAAAAAACUAUUAUUAAACCACGGUGAACGAUACAGUCCAUCUAAAUAUGGUACAAACCAUACUGUACCAUACCAUACCAUAUUAUACCAUACAUUAUGAAACCAUGGCAAACCACCAUCCAAACAGGCUGUAAGGGGUGAGGUGCUGAACCACCACACCAACUCUUGUGGUUGUAAAUAAUCUUGUUUAUGUAAACAACCCGGACAAUCCGAUGCAAUAAGCUUUUGCUAUGUGUGGGGUUCGAAAAAGAAUCGUACCAUAAAAGUCUAUCGUACGCAGUUUUAUCCUGCAUUUCUGCAAGAGAUUGUUUUCACGACUCAAAUACGUGAUCUUCUGAUCACAUGAUAACAAAUUUUCCAGUUAAGUCCAUAAGCAGAGUAAAAAUCUCCCUAAAAGAAGUUAUCUAUCACAAUAGCUCAGACAUGAGACUUUCAAAUUAAGACAUG